rnacentral:misc_RNA from 1 species
GAUGAAGAACGAAGCGAAAUGCGAUAAGUAGUGUGAAUUGCAGAAUUCAGUGAAUCAUCGAAUCUUUGAACGCACAUUGCGCCCCUUGGUAUUCCAUGGGGCAUGCCUGUUCGAGCGUCAUUUGUACCUUCAAGCUCUGCUUGGUGUUGGGUGUUUGUCUCGCCUCUGCGUGUAGACUCGCCUUAAAACAAUUGGCAGCCGGCGUAUUGAUUUCGGAGCGCAGUACAUCUCGCGCUUUGCACUCAUAACGACGACGUCCAAAAGUACAUUUUUACACUCUUGACCUCGGAUCAGGUAGGGAUACCCGCUGAACUUAAGCAUAUCAAUAAGCGGAGGA